UUUUUUCUUCUUUUUAAUAAUGUUUUUAUUGUUUUAGACUAAUUUCGUUUUCAUUUCAUCAUUGUUGAUUAUUAAAACUUACAAUGUGAAUAAAGGGACAAACGAACAUCUCAGAAAAAUUCUGCAUGCAUUACACAUCUAAAAUGGCUAUAUAUAUGUAUAUAUGUAUGUGUGUGUCGAUGAAAAUAUACUCUUUAUACCAAAAUCUAUUUUUUGCGGGUUAAACGUCAUCAUAUCUUUAUCAAAGACUCCACAUUUUUUCUCCUGCAUAAUUUGAAAAAGAAAGGAAGCAAACUGUACAUUUAUUGGGUGUCGAUGAGAAUCAUGAAUGAAACAAUUUUUUAUACUGAAAUAUUUGCUUAAUGUCAUCACAACUUUACGAACGACUAAUAAAUUUUUAUUUUUUUACCUGAGAAAGGGUAAAACAUGUUUACUCACGUGAUCCGCAAAACUGCCACAACCGACUGCCCAGUGGCUCCUCUCUGUCCACGUAGAGGAUGUCCGGUCCCGGUAUAGUGAGCUAAAAGCCAGGGUCACCUCUGUGUUGGGGUCCAUCCUGAAAAUGGACUCCACAAAACCGGUGGCCAAAAAACUGGCAGGAGCUGGGACCGCAGCCUGGGUCACCAAUGUGGGCAAUGAGCACGCACAGGUCCUCAUUCCUGUGCUCACCUCACAUGAGGGUCAGGGACUGCUCCCCAUGAACCAGCCACCUGCUCUACAGUCUGUUCAUGGCAGAGCUCUCUGCCUGCAUUUUCGUCUGGGAUGAGGGAGAUGUGUCCCUGCUGAGGGAGGCAAAAAGGAGGGAGCUUGACCAACAGCAGGGCAUCAGAGGCCUCACGGAGGAGCAGUAGACCAGCAGGCUCACCUCCAGACAGCUGGCACAGCACUGUCGUCGCUGCACACGUGGCCUGGAGGAGACCGAGCAGCUGAUCGGACUGUUGCUGGAGGCCUUCAGGGACACCAGGGAAACGAUGGGCAUCCCCUUGGUGGACCAGGAGAGAAUGGACUGCAUCUGGGACACUCAAAGGCGCCUUCUUCCCUGCAUCCAGGACCCUCUUGGAGUGCAGCUGUACACCCAGACAGGAAGUGUUAAAAAGGAGGGCUUACACUUCCUGUGUACUGCUGUGCUUGGGGGUCCACUUUCCUGGAGUCCUACCAUAACCACCUCAACCGCUUCAUACCCAGAACUAGCGCUAACCUGGAAAAUUUCCAGGCUUAUCUGCUUGUUGGUUUUGAGCGGUGGAAUGGGACCGGGACACUGCUGCUGUCACACAUGCUUCCUUGUCACUACACUACUAUAGUGGCUCACUCCAGCACAGCCUCAAUGAGCUCAGCCAGCGUCUUCUUGGCUGUAGUCUUGUGCAAGACUACUCAAAGCCAGGAGAGUAGAAAAUAUAUAAUUGUGAAAAAAUUACUAAACAAAAAUCUGUAUUGUUUCUGGUUGAAAAGUCCAUUUUUAUUUUAUGGAAAAUGCUAUAUUUGCAGCGUUAUUGGGUCAUGCUUCUCCCUUUUUUUCCAAACCGCACCAGAGCCUGUCUCCCUUCUUUGCAGAAUGCGAUAUCCGCUCAACCAAUCACAUUACACCAUUCUACGCACUCUAGACAGUAAUGGCGGCACUUUGACAAUGCUCCACAUCUUAGUUUUACUCUUCUAAUUUGUACUUUGUGAUCAACAAACAAGGGCUGCACGAUAAAUCACAUGCGAUUCUGUGAUUAAGGCCGAGAUCACAACUUCUUUAAAACUUGCAUCUGCAACAAAGGAUUUCUUUUAAAAGCAGUUGAAAUAACUGUGUUAUCUGAGCUCACUUCCCUUUCUAACUCGACAAAGCAGCAAGCAGCCAAAAUUAAAGAAAUCGGAAUGUGUUUGUCUCCAUCUAUUCAUACAGUGUAAAAAAUACAAUUAACAAAAUGUUGGAAGGGAAAAAAUAUUUAAGUUGAGCUAAUUUUAUUGCUUGGGCUUAGUUGAGAAGAUGUAUUUUAUUAAGUCUACAUAAGUAUAUUUGGAAAAACAUUGAAUGAAUGAUUAUUAGCUAUGCUAAUGUUGACUAAACUAAUAAAAACUAAUCCAACCGACACAGAGAUAAUUCUGCAUGUGCACAAGCCUGAGUGACUUCGCGGGAAAAACAGCGCCAUCUUGUCAAGUUUACAAGUCAGGUAAGUGCCACUAAAUGAAUGUUAAGACUUAAUUUUUUACCAAAAACAUAAGAAUUUUAAAAUCGGACAUAAAAUAUAUAAUUGUGAAAAAAUUAUUAAACAAAUAUAUACAUAAAACUGAAAAAAUAACAGCAGAAACCGUACAACAAAGUGAAGAAUAAAAGAUUUCACUAAAUAGUUCA